rnacentral:rRNA from 1 species
AUUGAACGCUGGCGGCAGGCUUAACACAUGCAAGUCGAGCGGGGUGAUGGUGCUUGCACUAUCACUUAGCGGCGGACGGGUGAGUAAUGCUUAGAAAUCUGCCUAUUAGUGGGGGACAACAUCUCGAAAGGGAUGCUAAUACCGCAUACGUCCUACGGGAGAAAGCAGGGGAUCACUUGUGACCUUGCGCUAAUAGAUGAGCCUAAGUCGGAUUAGCUAGUUGGUGGGGUAAAGGCCUACCAAGGCGACGAUCUGUAGCGGGUCUGAGAGGAUGAUCGGCCACACUGGGAGUGAGACACGGCCCAGACUCCUACGGGAGGCAGCAGUGGGGAAUAUUGGACAAUGGGGGGAACCCUGAUCCAGCCAUGCCGCGUGUGUGAAGAAGGCCUUAUGGUUGUAAAGCACUUUAAGCGAGGAGGAGGCUCUUUUGGUUAAUACCCAAGAUGAGUGGACGUUACUCGCAGAAUAAGCACCGGCUAACUCUGUGCCAGCCGCCGCAGUAAAAC